rnacentral:rRNA from 1 species
UACAGAGGGUGCGAGCGUUGUUCGGAUUCAUUGGGCGUAAAGGGUGCGUAGGUGGUGCUGUAAGUCAGGUGUGAAAUCCCGGGGCUCAACCCCGGAACUGCACUUGAUACUGCAGUGCUCGAGGACUGGAGAGGAGAUCGGAAUUCAUGGUGUAGCAGUGAAAAUGCGUAGAUAUCAUGAGGAAGACCAGUGGCGAAGGCGGGUCUCUGGACAGUUCCUGACGCUGAGGCACGAAGGCCAGGGGAGCAAACGGG